rnacentral:rRNA from 1 species
UACGGAGGGUGCAAGCGUUAUCCGGAUUUACUGGGUUUAAAGGGUGCGCAGGCGGAUAUGUAAGUCAGUGGUGAAAUCUCUGGGCUUAACCCGGAAAUUGCCAUUGAUACUAUAUAUCUUGAAUGCUGUGGAGGUAAGCGGAAUAUGUCAUGUAGCGGUGAAAUGCUUAGAGAUGACAUAGAACACCUAUUGCGAAGGCAGCUACUACGCAGAUAUUGACGCUCAUGCACGAAAGCGUGGGGAUCAAACAGG